GUUUAUGAUUAACAAUUUUCUUGUUAGGUUCAGUCAGAAUAGUUAAAAUGUUGCCCAGUCCGCGCCCCGAAGGGUUAAGAAAGAGCACCGGGCAGGCCAAGAUUCUCCCGAGGGAAAAAAUAGCCACGCCCAGGGCGGAUGAACCCCCCAAAGGGAGGCCCACCCAUAAAAACAGUGCACAAGAUAAAAAGAAGAGAAAGCCCCCAAAGAGAGCUCCCCCGCAUUUUUAAUGAUCCUUCCGCAGGUUCACCUACGGAAA
rnacentral:misc_RNA from 1 species